GGUGGUUCUCAGGUGACGUACCCCGGAAUCAGGCUUCCUCCUCUCUGGUUCCAGGUGCAUCACCCAAGAACCACA
rfam:Myotis lucifugus cont2.37930, whole genome shotgun sequence.